GAGUUUGAUUCUGGCUCAGAUUGAACGCUGGCGGCAGGCUUAACACAUGCAAGUCGAGCGGAGAGAGGUAGCUUGCUACUGAUCUUAGCGGCGGACGGGUGAGUAAUGCUUAGGAAUCUGCCUAUUAGUGGGGGACAACAUUUCGAAAGGAAUGCUAAUACCGCAUACGUCCUACGGGAGAAAGCAGGGGAUCUUCGGACCUUGCGCUAAUAGAUGAGCCUAAGUCGGAUUAGCUAGUUGGUGGGGUAAAGGCCUACCAAGGCGACGAUCUGUAGCGGGUCUGAGAGGAUGAUCCGCCACACUGGGACUGAGACACGGCCCAGACUCCUACGGGAGGCAGCAGUGGGGAAUAUUGGACAAUGGGCGCAAGCCUGAUCCAGCCAUGCCGCGUGUGUGAAGAAGGCCUUAUGGUUGUAAAGCACUUUAAGCGAGGAGGAGGCUACUUUAGUUAAUACCUAGAGAUAGUGGACGUUACUCGCAGAAUAAGCACCGGCUAACUCUGUGCCAGCAGCCGCGGUAAUACAGAGGGUGCAAGCGUUAAUCGGAUUUACUGGGCGUAAAGCGCGCGUAGGCGGCUAAUUAAGUCAAAUGUGAAAUCCCCGAGCUUAACUUGGGAAUUGCAUUCGAUACUGGUUAGCUAGAGUGUGGGAGAGGAUGGUAGAAUUCCAGGUGUAGCGGUGAAAUGCGUAGAGAUCUGGAGGAAUACCGAUGGCGAAGGCAGCCAUCUGGCCUAACACUGACGCUGAGGUGCGAAAGCAUGGGGAGCAAACAGGAUUAGAUACCCUGGUAGUCCAUGCCGUAAACGAUGUCUACUAGCCGUUGGGGCCUUUGAGGCUUUAGUGGCGCAGCUAACGCGAUAAGUAGACCGCCUGGGGAGUACGGUCGCAAGACUAAAACUCAAAUGAAUUGACGGGGGCCCGCACAAGCGGUGGAGCAUGUGGUUUAAUUCGAUGCAACGCGAAGAACCUUACCUGGCCUUGACAUAGUAAGAACUUUCCAGAGAUGGAUUGGUGCCUUCGGGAACUUACAUACAGGUGCUGCAUGGCUGUCGUCAGCUCGUGUCGUGAGAUGUUGGGUUAAGUCCCGCAACGAGCGCAACCCUUUUCCUUAUUUGCCAGCGAGUAAUGUCGGGAACUUUAAGGAUACUGCCAGUGACAAACUGGAGGAAGGCGGGGACGACGUCAAGUCAUCAUGGCCCUUACGGCCAGGGCUACACACGUGCUACAAUGGUCGGUACAAAGGGUUGCUACCUAGCGAUAGGAUGCUAAUCUCAAAAAGCCGAUCGUAGUCCGGAUUGGAGUCUGCAACUCGACUCCAUGAAGUCGGAAUCGCUAGUAAUCGCGGAUCAGAAUGCCGCGGUGAAUACGUUCCCGGGCCUUGUACACACCGCCCGUCACACCAUGGGAGUUUGUUGCACCAGAAGUAGCUAGCCUAACUGCAAAGAGGGCGGUUACCCACGUGUGGCCGAUGACUGGGGUGA
rnacentral:rRNA from 1 species